rnacentral:lncRNA from 1 species
GGCUUUUUUUCCCCAGCCAGAACUCGCCAGAACUCAGUUCCAGCACCUCUCAGGUGGGUGCCAUUGCCAUUAUAAGAGAACAAGGGAGGCAUUCAUGGUGAGUUCUGGCACAUUGUGUGUGUGUAUGAUGAUGAUGAUGAUGCUGAUGAUGUUUUAAAAUUAUUGCUUCCGCCAUGUGACCUAUGUUUUUACCUCUUUCUAUUUUAGCUGUAAGCUGCCUUGAGUCCUUGUCAGGGAAAAAGGUGGCUGGUAAUAAUAAUAAUAAUAAUAAUAAUAAUAAUAAUAUCCAUGCACUUAGAAAACUGGAUCUCAGGAAGAAGGGUUAUAGUCUAGCCUUCUCUCUUCCACCAUUUUUUCUCUAUUUGGAGAGAAUCUUAGGAGCUAGCAACAUGUCUGUCCCUGCCUGCAGUCUCGAAUGGUGCAACCCAGACACAGGCUUAUUGCCUUAGUGAGAACUAGGUCAAGAAAAACUGGACUGGGUUUUUUGUUUUAAAUGCUUUCUGGGUUGACAUGCUAUAGAAGCCCUUUAUUAGAUGGCUUUUUAAAAUGGUGACCUAAGCAAAAUGUUUUCUUUUUGUAAAGUUCGGGAACUGGGCAGGUCAAUGAGCGCUGUCUUGGAAUCAUGUUUAUUUGCACCUGCCCCGUUGUUGCAGAGAUAUUGAAUUGAAGUAGCAAGGAGAUGUUACUUUGCAAGUAGGAUAUAUAUAGAUAUACAUUCAUUUUCUUAUGCAUUCCAAAUGAAAGCUUAACAAAUAGGAACCACAAUGAUGCUAAUAACGUAAUAGAUCAGGGGCUUUUGGGAUGGAAGGCCUAUACUGAUUUCCAUGCACAAAGAUUAGCAUCAAACAGAAUUUUGCAAUUGCCUGUGUAAAUUCUUUCCUGUAAUGAUAAGAAUGCACCUCGAAGCUGUGGAUUUUGAUCCCAGAUACAGAUGUGCACACACACACACACACACACACACACCACUCUGCAUCUCACACAAGGUGUCGUGGAUACUUCUGGAAGACAAGCAGCUGCAAUAAGAGAGAUCAGAAAAGGAGACUUAAAUUGAUACAAUUAAUCCCUUGGAAAUACAGCAAGACUAUCUUUCCUUAUUCUUGCACAGUUCAAACAUCCAGAGAAUAUGCUUAAUUAAAAUUUGGCUAUACAUUUUUAAAAGAUAACAAAAAAAAUAAAAGAAAUGGGCUAAUUAUAUUGCUCUGCAUUCUGCUAUGUAUUUUUUUUUUUUUUAAUAACAUACUUUUCCAGCUUGGUCCAAUCCCAGGAGAUGUAGUUCCUCAUUUAUAAGAAGGUCCCUGGUGGGAUUUUAAAAGGGGGAUAUCUUAUAAAAGGAAAAUAUAUUUUGAAAGUGGUUCCUUGAAAGGAUCAGUGGCAUCCUGGAUGUAUCUGUGUCCAAAAUGUGCAUCUUCCAAACAUGCAAAUGUUUCUCCUCCAAGGAUUUCCCAUCUUGUCUUCAAAUUGGCGAAGCAGGCGCUGCCGCCUUCAGCUCUUCCUCACAGUUCCCCAACUAUCGUAAAUAGACAGUUUUGAAAAUUUGUUUUAUUUAAUGAACUGAAAGGUUGAGUCUUCUCCUUUGCGUAUUAACUCCCCCUAAUAUAUGAUGGUACAUAUUAAUGGUCGUUAACAAGCUAAAUGCUUUUUCCACAGAAAGCCCACAGGAGAGAGAACGAGGGGGAAAAUAUCCCCUCAUUUGAGAUAAUUUCACUGAAUCGUUGCUGUGUUCUCCCCUCAGGGCAAGGUGAGACGUGUCCUGGAAAUAUGUUAGAGAGAGGAGAGAGGGCAUCCAGGAGCUGAAAGCAAAGAUGAGGCAGUCUUCAAAAACUGCUGGCCUGGGAAAAUCCAGAUUUGGAAGGGAAAUCAGUUUGCAGUCCUAUUGGUUUGGGGCCAUCCCCACAGAAGGCCUUCCUUCCUCCUUGCACCAUCUCAAAACCUUUCUCCUCUUCUUCUCCUCACUGUUGGGAUUCUCCUCAGAUCCCUGCUGCCUUUAGAAUGGAAGCAGAAGGUGAAAAAAAUGGCAGCACUGCUUGGAAUCUUAGGCUCCAUCUGCACUAUACAUGUCUUCUUCUAAUUCUUCUUUGGCGAGUAAGAUUGUCUUCCAUAAACACGGUUUUAACAAUGAGUCAGUAAGUGACUGUAGAGGCCAAUUCUGGAUCCACACAUCCUUCCACAGUGGGGACAUUGGUUAAAGCACAAUGAGCCCCCUUUAAACAGACAUGGCUCCCCACCCAAAAUAUUCUGGGAGCUGUAGUUUGUUCAGGGUGCUGACAGUUAUUAGGAGGCCUGUCUUCUCCUCAAAGAGCCUCCUGGGAAGAGGGCUAGAUAGUUAAUCUGUUCUGGGAACUGUUGCUCUGUGAGGGGAAUACGGGUUUUCUAACAACUCUCAGCACCCUGAACAAACUACCCUUAAUAAACUACCUUUCCCAGCAUUCUCUGAGGGAAGCCAUAACUGUUUAAAUCAGUGGUUUUUAACCAGUGUGCCGUGGACCCUGGGGUGCCUUGAACAAUGGUCAGGGGUGCUGUAGGGAAGGUGUUCAAAAAGGGUGAGAGGCUGCCAGCUCUGCAGGCAAGGGGUGACAUAACUGGGCCCCUGGGCCCCACGGGGUGCCUCAGAAAGAAUGUAGUUGGUUAGGGGAGCCAUGGACUCAAAAAGGUUGAAAACCUCUGCUUUAAAGUGGUCUCAUAGUGGUUUAAAUCGAUGAUGCAGAUGGGGCCUCAGAUUACAGCAGCACACUCCUGCUUUUAAGUGGCUACAAAACCACAAUUCCAAGGUGUUAACCGAGCCUUAGAAACACACAACCAGAAUUCUACCAUCAUAUUUUAAUUUUUUAAUAAAAAAAAUAGUCAAUGAAAACACUUAUUGCUCAUUCACUGCCCCCAAAGAUGACCAAAUGUGAAUCUGAUUGACUUCUGCGGCAAUUAAAGGCAGAAGAUCUCAAUGUAUGGGAAUACAAACAAAUGUCAAUAAACUUUUAAUGUGCUAUUCAA